rnacentral:miRNA from 1 species
CCAGGCCCUCUAACUGCAAAUU